rnacentral:rRNA from 1 species
UACGGAAGGUCCGGGCGUUAUCCGGAUUUAUUGGGUUUAAAGGGAGCGUAGGCCGGAGAUUAAGCGUGUUGUGAAAUGUAGACGCUUAACGUCUGCACUGCAGCGCGAACUGGUUUCCUUGAGUACGCACAAAGUGGGCGGAAUUCGUGGUGUAGCGGUGAAAUGCUUAGAUAUCACGAAGAACUCCGAUUGCGAAGGCAGCUCACUGGAGCGCAACUGACGCUGAAGCUCGAAAGUGCGGGUAUCGAACAGG